rnacentral:rRNA from 1 species
GACGAACGCUGGCGGUGUGCUUAACACAUGCAAGUCGAGCGGUAAGGCCCUUUCGGGGGUACACGAGUGGCGAACGGGUGAGUAACACGUGAGUAACCUGCCCUCAUCUCUGGGAUAACAGUCGGAAACGGUUGCUAAUACUGGAUAUGAGCUUGCAAGGCAUCUUGUGGGUUGGAAAGAUUUUUUUUGGUUGGGGAUGGACUCGCGGCCUAUCAGCUUGUUGGUGAGGUAGUGGCUCACCAAGGCUUCGACGGGUAGCCGGCCUGAGAGGGCGACCGGCCACAUUGGGACUGAGAUACGGCCCAAACUCCUACGGGAGGCAGCAGUGGGGAAUAUUGCACAAUGGACGGAAGUCUGAUGCGGCAACGCCGCGUGCGGGAUGACGGCCUUCGGGUUGUAAACCGCUUUCAAUUGUGACGAAGCGUUUUUGUGACGGUAGCAGUAGAAGAAGCACCGGCUAACUACGUG